AGAUGGCGACCGGCGCACGGGUGAGUAACACGUAUCCAACCUGCCGAUAACUCGGGGAUAGCCUUUCGAAAGAAAGAUUAAUACCCGAUGGCAUAAUUAGACCGCAUGGUCUUAUUAUUAAAGAAUUUCGGUUAUCGAUGGGGAUGCGUUCCAUUAGGCAGUUGGUGAGGUAACGGCUCACCAAACCUUCGAUGGAUAGGGGUUCUGAGAGGGAGGUCCCCCACAUUGGAACUGAGACACGGUCCAA
rnacentral:rRNA from 1 species